rnacentral:lncRNA from 1 species
AAGAUAAUUCACUAGAUGAUGAAAAUGGGGAUAAAGGGCCAUUGGUGUCUGAGAUUUGGGAGUUAGCUGGAAGGGUAAUUUGGUAAUUGGAUACACAUCUCCCUUGUGUGGAUUUGGUUUCUUCAUUUGUGACAAUGUUAUCUAUAGCUCUCUUCUUGAGGGAAGUGUGCCAGUGGUUCUUCACUUCAUUAUCUGUUCUUCCAGGUAACUCGGCCGCAAUGGUUGACCAUCUAUUGCCAAGCUUUUUAUGCAUUCGGAUAAUCAACUCCUCUUCUUCUUGAGUGAAGUUUCCUCUUUUGAUAUUAGGUCUUAAAUAAUUCAGCCACCUCAAUCUACAACUCUUCCCACACCUUGAAAGACCUGAAAAAAUGAAAAAAAAAAAAACAAUGAAAUUAUGAGUAAAUUUUAUCAAGGGAUCAUUAUCCAUGCAUUGCAAACAUAGUUCUAUAUUCAUUUUUAUUUUUUAUUUUAAAACUCGCUAUUCGAUCCAAGAAUCGACUAUAUUUACCUGCAAACUUUGGUAGUUGGCGCCAAUUCCAGCAACCGUAUCUGGUGACAUAAGCAAUUAAUUUCCUAUCUUCUUCAGCAGUCCAUGUUCCUUUCCUCAUUCCACUUUUUUUGUCACAAGAAGGAGUUCUUGCCAUCUUAAUUAUUUUUUGAGAAACAAGUGAACUCAAACUCAAUGAGUGAGUGUGUUUGUCUCUACAAGAUGAGAGUUAUAUUGGUCUUGUUUCUUUGUGUCAGAGCAUAGUCCUACUUAAAUUUAUACCACACGCUUUCACAUACAAAACGUGUUUCAUAUUCCAACAUGUUCUACUAUAAUAAGAGUCAAUGAUAAGGGUCUUUCUCAGCAGAUAAUAAUAACUGCUCUUUAUGCCUUGUACUAAAACUAGUCAAAUUUCGUGUUUCUUGUUCCUUUUCACAUUAAAGAGUAAAUAACAAUAGUGUCACUAUCAGUUAUAUGCUACUUAUCUUCCAGGAAGCUAACAGGAAACAUUUGCCACGCUUCCUUUUAGCUUUGUAAUUUAGCACGUGAGGCAAAUCUACUAAUGGAAACACAAACAAAAUAACAGUCAAGACAUUAUGACCAUAUUGACUUUCUUUUGGUCUAAAAAGCAAUACAUACUAUUUUAAAGAAAUUCUAAAUUCUAACCAUUGGUUUAAACAACAAUUUGUUGGAAUAUUACAUAUUUUAAAGAAAUUCUAAGUUCAAGUCAUUGGUUCGAAAGCUAAUAACAAGACAAAUAUUUUUAUUAUCAAAAAAGUUAAUUUUACAUGAAAUAAUAACCUUUACAAUCUAAGUAAUUUUUUUUUGUAGAAUAAAUUUUUUAAAAGUUAUAUUUUGUUCAUAAAUGAUAGAAUCAUACUAUCGUUAAUUAAAAAACUUGUAAGACUUUUAUAUGUGUUUCGUCCCAGUAAUUAGAGGUUGUUUAAAAAUUGGUUCUUGUAAUAGUUAAUCCUGAGAAACUACCCUCCCAAAGUUUAAUCUUUUAAAAUUUCGUCCCUUAACCCACUUAAUGACUGCCACGUCAUCUGAUUACUGACGUGGCGCUAUUAAUUGGCUUUUCACUUGACUGACUCAGCUUAAGGGCAUGGGAAUGGACAAAAAUGCCCCUCUUCAUUUGAGACCAAACGGAGAUGACAAAACUACCCUUUACCCCCCUCUUCUCAGACCAAAUUGAAAUGACAAAUAUACCCUGGCUUCUUCCCUCAUUCUCCUUCCUUCUUCUUCCUCUCCUUCCAUCCGAAAUCCAAACCCAUUGCAAAAUAAUGUUCCAGAAUCUAACCAUCAUCUGUUUACGCUCUCAGCAACGUCGCCGAAGAGUUCUUCAUUUGAAUUUGUUGAGAUCUGGUUUUUUCUUCUCCGUUUACCUUCUCCGAAUCCGAUUUCUUCUCCAGCAUAUUCACCUCCGGCACCUCUGAUUCCAACUCCUCUGAAAACCUAACGAAAAGGAUUACUGACAUAGACCAAAAAUUUCACAAACAAGUAAAAUCCAAUCAAGAGAUCGAUGUUCUUAAAGGUUGGUGCUGGUUGUUGAUGUUAUGUUAUGGCUUUGUUGUUGUUGUUCAGAUCCGGGAGGUGUGUUUGUGGUUCAGUUGCUCAAGUGGUGAAGAGAUCGAUGGUGUUCUUGUUUUUGUGUUCAUUGAGAAUUUGAGAUUGAUGAAUGAAGGAAAGGGAAGAAGGAAGAGAAAUCCAUGUUGUUGUUGGGUUCAUUAACAUGGAAAAAGAGAGGGAAGAAGAAAGGGAAAGCCAGGUUUCUAAUUCACUUCAGAAACUCAACAAUCGUGUUUCUUUUUGAGUAAAUAGGCAAUUACCUCCCUGAAAUUGUAAGUUUCGUUAAUUACCCCCCUGAAAUUAACAAAACUUCAAUUACCCCCUUGAAAUUUCACAACGUUAAUCAAUUUACCCCCUCCGUCAAUUUUUUUUGUUAAUGAACAUAACGUUUUGCAAAUAUCCCCCUGAAGUUUUGCACUUAUAUGCAAAAUGCCCCCCAAACUUAAAUAUUUAUAUUAUUUUUUUUCUUAAAAACAAACAAUUAAUAGUUAAAUAUUAAAACAAACUAUUAAUUUUGGAAUUUUAGAAAACUACAUGCAUAUAUACAUCAAAAUAAUGUGACUUAAAAUGUGACUUAUUGUACGAGAAAUUUUGAAAUUUCAAGGGGGUAAUUGAAGUUUUGUUAAUUUCGAGAGCUUGUAUAUUAAAAUGUGACUUAUUGUACGAGAAAAAAAAUAUCCAAUUGUGAAGCUUUCGAACAAAAGGUUCAAAGGCCUACAAUAAAGCUUGAAUGACGGUUACUGCUACGAAUUCAUGAGGGAAAAUGAUCGUAAGCUUGAAUAGAAGGUGUUGGAGGAGAAGAGGAAGAGGAAUGAUUUAAGGGGUAAUAUCGUCCUUUCGUGUUUGUAUGAGAAGCCAGGGGUAUUUUCAUCUAUUCAUGUCAAGUUUAUUAAGUCAGACUGCCACGUCAGCUAAUCAGUGAUGUGGCAGUAAUUAAGUGGGUGUAGGGACGAAAUUUUAAAUGAUUAAACUUUGGAAGGGUAAUUUGCCAGGAUUAUCGAUUACAGGAACCAAUUUUUAAAUGACCCCUAAGUGCAAGGACGAAACACAUAUAAAAGCCAACUUGUAAUGAUAUUUGUAAAAAAAAAAAAGUAAUCAUAUUUGGUUUUCCGAAGGAAUAAUCAAAUUAAGAUAUUCCAUCAACUUUUGGAAUGAUAUUUGGGGAAGAGGCACUCUCUUGGUCUCCGAACAAAAAGACUUAUUGGUUGUGUAUAGCGAUAUAAAUAGAUAUCUAUAGAUAGAGGUAGUAUGAUAUUGAUGUUCAUCUUGUUAAAUAAAUGUGAUACAUGUGUCUUCUUUGUAUCUUUCUUUGUAUCUGCCUUAAGCGAGUAAUCCUUGAAUUUUGAUGUAUUCACGAGCAUAUUCAUAUAUUUUGGAUUUUUUUUUUUUUAAUAAUUUUUGUUAUUUUUUUAAUGAUUAUCUAUAAUUUAACGACAAAAGUUCAUCAUAUUCACCGGAACCGAGUAUAACCGUAAGAAACCGCAAUAUUCAUCCGAACUAUAUGUGACCUGUUUUUACCAUAAGCGAAUGUGUGAAUUUGAAUGGGGUUGGUCGAGUAUAUUCGGGUCGACCCGUAGCUGCCCAACCCUAAUAAAAAAGUUUAUAAUUUAUCCGCAAAUGAUUUGUCAUGUAUAUACAUAUGGAAAUGUUAACUUGUGCCCUUAGGGCACAUGUUAAGCAAUCUAAAAUAGAAGUUUUGUCUAAAAAAUUGUGCCAAUUUAUUUAUCUAAAGAUUGAAAGUAAAUGUUUUAUAAUAAAUAUUUAUCAUUUAUGGAAUCCUUAACAUGUGUCAUAAGGGCACAAGUUAACGUGACAGAUGUACAUAUUUCAACCAUUUCCUUUUAUCAAUAGUUAUGUCAAAAAAGUGAAUGGUUAGUUCUAGAGAAGUCUUGUCCCCGAUGUGCCAUAAUAAUGUUCCCCUAAAUUAUAUGUUUUGUAGGUAAACACGUUCCUUUUGUCCUAUACUACAUAACUGCUGCUGAUAUUAAUUUUUAUAUUCAUUUAUCCGUUGUCACGGUUCCAAUUUAACAUGUGCCAAUUUGAAGAGUCAACGAUAUAGACUUUAUUUUUCUAUCCAUGGUGGCAUGGUGGUAUAGUGUUUUUUUAUUUUUAUUUUUACAAAAUGGUGGUAUAGUGAUGGAUACUUAAUUAUUCUUUAUGGUAAAAUGCAUGAAUCAAACUAAAUAACGCGGUUUCUGGUAUAUGACUCUGAAUCAGAACAGGCGAUUAUUGGGACUAAUAUCAGGCUAGAAUUUGUUUAACGUCUUUCUUCUUUUAAAGAAAACUUUCUUCAUCCUUUUACGCAAUGAAUGUAUUUGGUCAAAGUCUCGUUAUUUAAUACACAAAUGGUAUAUUUUUAUAAUUAAGUUUGCAAGUGUUCCUAAGUGCAAUUCAUAUAUAAGAACAAAUUGUGGUCUAAAUGGAAUUAACUUCUUAAAAAAAAUAGAAUUAUUAUAUGCUGCCUUCAUAUUGACCAAAUAAAAGUGGAAUGGAACAAAUAAAAAUAAGCUGCCCGUAUUUGUAAAAAUAUAUUAAAGUAGAGAGCAGAAGAAACAGAUCCUUUUCUUACCAUAAUUUCCUAAUGAGAAAUGAUAUAAUUGACAAUCAUUUUGGGAUAACUUAAUAGAUAAACCUUCAUGCAAUGCCAUUUUAGUUUUUAAAAUAAUUUUUAGCUCGCUUUGUGAUAUGUUCCGGAACAGAACUAGGACCAUGCAAUCUUGAUGCUUGUGCUGACGAAGAUCUUGUAUGGCGUUGAAAGAUCUUUGUUAUGGCGAAGGCUGUUCAUCGACGAUGGAGAAGAAACCUGCAAAAACAUGUAACUGCUCCAACACUCAAGUCAGUAUGUGAACUUGAGAUGGAAAUAUGAGAAAAUGCUUCUAAAUAUGAUUGUACAUGAGCAUGGUUGUGAGUCGAAUUGCAUAUAGACGAGCUCAACGUAAUUGCUUUCGUGAAAUUUGGCGUUGAACGCGAGAUACAGUUAGAGUUGGUUCAACGAUCAGGCCUUAAUUCAAGGCAGUGUUCUUGUGCGGUGUGGCGCACAGGUGACCUUCCAUAAGAUUUUCUAAGGUGGUGUAAUGGGCUAAUGGACUUGUUGAACUUGGUCAUUGUAUGGGCUAAAAUUUAGUCUAGACUAGUUGUCCACUGUCUUUAUGAAGUGACGAGAUUUUUUACGUUGGCUGGCUGCGAAUUAAACUAUUGACAUUUUUUCAUUGCCCCCAUAAAAUAUUUUUUAGAGGUCAGGUGCUGAUGAGCGUUUAGUGGUAUCUGAAAGGUGCUGAGUGGGGGAAGGUACAACAAUAAAUGCGUGCAGAUAUAUUAAUUGAAAGGACUCCCUUUUAUGGGAUUACUAACGUGUGUCCCAUGAACCUGUGGAUUGAGGCGAUGUGCUUGGAUACAUACGUUCUCUAGGCAUUAUCUGUGGUGUUAUGCCACACCUUUUGUCUUUUAGUGAUCUAGUGUCAUUGAUAGUUUCUUGAAAUAUUUCAGCCAGAACAUGUCUUUCCCUGACCACCAUCCAUACAUUUCCAUUUGCCUUCCUACUUUCUAUAGAUGUUUUACACCGUAUAAUAAGUCCCACUUUAUUCAACCAUAAUUUGGCAUAAAAUAUACUUUUUGAUCGUACGUGAUCAGAAGGUGACUGCCAUUGCUUUGAAUGCGGUGGUUUGAAUGGUGUUAGAACGCGUCACAAUGCUUCUUGGAACGGAUGGGGGGUGUGUACCUGUAGGCACUCCGGCGCUCAAGUAAGUAGCGAUUAGAGAGUGAGGAUUUAGAGGAAGAGUUAGAUUCUAUCCUGGGGACUGAAGUGAGUACUCUAUAUAUAGAGGUGGAGGGCGGCAGAGCCGUUGUAAUGGCACACCUGGCUCUUGCGGUUACGUAAUCGUGGGAAGUGUAACUGCCAAAGAGUUUAUUGCGGGAACGUGCAAAGAGACGUUGUGGUUCGUUUGAACCGGUCUUGCUCGCUCCGUGCACCCGCCUAUCGGGGAAGGGGUGUGUCGCAAGUAAUGUUGCCAAACUUGGUGUUUGGGCUUUAGAUUGUAUUGGGCCUAAGUAAAUGGGACAAAGGUCCUUUUGGCCGGUACAGAAGAGUAGCCCCCAAGUUGUUGCUCUUGACGAAUAGUGAUGACUUAAGUGCGGGCGUCUUUGAUUGUUCGUGGUCGGUCGUAGAAGGGAAGUUCGCUUUUAUGUGCUCUCUACUUGAGAAUAGGCCAAGCUGUUUGAGGGGUGUGAAGACACCUUCGAAUCUAGGAACUGUUCGUCUUGGGUGGUUAAGAGUGUUGUGAGAAUUGUGCGAGCACAUGCAUGGACGCGCUCGCUAUUCUCUGAACCCCUUUGUUCCAUAACCAAACGAGUUCGCCAAUGGACUGGCUUGUGUCCGUCAUGCGAAUGCUCGGUUGACUUAGGUCAGAUGGAGAGAUUCCCUCGUCAAGAAGUUUGGUCGAUUGUCAUUCCGCAAUUAAUGCCCACAUCGCGAGGGAAAGACUGAGGAGACAUGACCUUUGGUUUCUGAGUGACACGUGUAAAGGCUAUUGUAGUACUUGAGUACCUAUAGUCUGUUGAGUGUUCUUGGUUUGUGUUUCCAAGGUGUCAUCAGUACCGUUGAUUUGAUCCUGACGUUUGAAGAACCGCUACGAUUGAUCAGAGCCCUUGGAUGGAUGAUUUGAUUUAAUCUGGAUCGUAGGCAGGCUACUUGGGUAGAGAGUUGCAUGUGAAGGGCUGCAUCGGAUUGGGACUUCGCGACCUUUGAGAAGUUUUAUGAAAUGAGUAUAAAUAGUCCAAACGUUUGUUUGGAACAUUACAAUACUUCAUUUUUUUAGAAACUUAGAAAAUUUUCCAAGAGUUUCUUCAAAGGCGAAGCAUUUUUUAACCUCAAACUUCGCACUUCAAGUCCAGUUCAUCCAUCAUAACAGGUAACGCUCUUAUGGUUCUUUUUCCCUUUGUUUUCAUGCUUGGCUUUCCUUAGUUUUCUGUUUUAAGAAACCGUAAAAAUGCAUGCUUUUAGGGUAGAAGUUACUCCGACUCGGUGGUUUCUGCCGUUUGUUACAGUGGUUUCCACCGUGCGUAAGGAGUUUUAGGAUUUGUUGUCUGUUUUCCGUAUUUUGAAAAAAACAUUGGCGACAAGUUGUGGUUUAGUUCGUAAACUUCAGUCCUGCUUGCUUCAGAAUGGGUUCCUUGAUGUGGUCGGAGUAAACUUAUCCUUUGUCUUCCCCCUUGGUUUUUAGCAGUGAUAUUUCAUCCCUUCCUCGGCGUGGUCAACCUGAUGGGUGAAGGAAGGGUGGAUCUGAAUGUUGGAUUCAAUUUUUUCCUUGCUCUUUCAGGUUCCCCAUGGUGCACAAGGAAGCUGUCGCGCCUGUCUCUUCGUGGCUGGGGGAAGAACCCUUAGAAACGGAGUCAGCAUUUGCUAUUGACGGAGUGGGAGAGAUUCCCUUUGGCUCCAUUGGUGAAGCAGAGGAUUGGGAGUUAGUACUUCUGAGCACAUCUGAUCGAGUACGAAAAUCAUGCCCUUCCCAUGUAUGAAGUGGUUUUCGAAGACAUGGGUUUUCGGCUCCCUUUCUCUGAUUUUCAGCGGGAGAUGCUCUGUUGGACCAAACUAUCGCCUUCCCAGAUUCACCCCAACUCAUAUGCCUUUAUGAUGGCCUUCAGAUUGGUGUGUGAUUAUCUCCAAAUUCCCGCUUCCAAGAACGUCUUCUUUACCAUCUUUUCUGUACAACGAGGUGCGGAUUCGGUUUCUUUCCGUCAAACCCAGAAGAUGUUUGAGAUAUUCACUGGGAAAGUGCGAAGUUUCAAAGAACGCUUCUUUCUGGUAAGACCGGAGAGUGAGGUGGCUUUGGACACUUUAUUGGAGGUGGUGAAGGAUGGCGCUCAAGAUCGCCGAUCCUUUUUUCCUCUGUGUUGGUCUCAAGAUCAUUUUGGCUAUAAGCCAAAAGAUUUCUGUCGGACCAUUCCCAGUCUCACGGAGGAGGAGGCGGGUGCUCGGCAACAACUUUGGCCUUUUGUCCAAUCUCUCCCACGGAGGGUCAAACUGACAAACGGGGAAACCCAUUGAUGAAUCCGGAUGGGACACCAGUAACAGAGCCUCAUUUCAUCAUUACCCACGAGUUAUUGCCGUCCGAAGACUUCGAGGAUUGCCUUGGUAGUUUUUGCCUUCUUAUGACCUUUUUGCUUUUAACUAGCUUGUUUUUGUGUGUUGUCUUUCAGAUCUGAUAAGUUUUUUCCUUUCUAUGUUUUGCAGGAAAAAUGAAAGAUCUAGGGGCCCUUGUGAAUGAAGCGAACAAGAAGGUCUCUGCCAAGAAACGGUGUAAGAACGUCCAGUCCCUGGAGCACCUUAGGAACCAAUCACACCCAUCAAGGCAGUUCCUGUUCGCUUUGAGAGUGGGGACUUCCUUCAGCUCCCGAGAUGAUGGUCCGAACUAGAUUGAUGCGGCCCUCAUUCGACCCUCUUCUUAGAUAACCCUGAGUUGAGGAUUAUUGAGGACCUACGUCCAGCUGAGAGGAUCAAGGCAAUAACAAAUGGGGUUAUUGCUACUAUAAAGGCUUUGGAGGUCGCCACGACCCUUAACAAUGCUUCGCUGGAGAGUGAAAUCCGGGCCAAUGCAUUGGCGCAGGAGAAGGAUGAUCUGAUUACUAAGGUUGUUGCUCUUGAAGGCGAGGUAAGGAGCAACAGGUCAGUUUAUGAGGAGUGUGACCGCCAGUUUGUUGUUGUGGAAAAGUAAUUGGCAGAAGCUCAGACUGCCCUUGAGCAAGCAGCCAACUCUUCCAGGAAGCGAACUGAGGAGAAGGUGACCUUGGAGGAAGCUUUGAAGAAGGUGGACCUCCCCGGAGAGGAUGAGGCGGAGGGCAUGGUCGUCCUGAGGCGUGCUGACUUGCUGGAAAGGGUUAGCGUGUUGGAAGGAAGCUUGGUGGACGCCGUCAAGCUUGGUUUUGAUCACGUAGUGGCUCAGCUGAAGGUGGUGAACUCCAUCAUUCAUCUGAGCUUUGAGGGAAUUCACCAUCUCAGUAAUGUGGAAGAUGUGGUGAUCAAACCUCCCCUUGAUCUUGAAGAGAAUAUGGGGCAUGUCGAUGAAGCCCAGGCUGAUGAGGCCUUAUAAUUUUAAUCACUCUUCUUUUAACAACCAUGCUUGUAAUGACAUUCUGCGCCCUUCGUGGUUUUAUCACUUAUGAAAUAUAAUUUGUUUGUUUGUUCUUUAAUUAUACUUGUCUGAAAAUGUUUGUUUGAUUUUCAAGUACAAUGUUUCGAACUGAGUGCUCGUUGCGCGAGGCUUUUUAUUGUUGAGAGCGAACUGUCUGAUCUGCAUGUUUUACAAAGUUUAACAAUUCGUAUGCUCUCAAUGUUUGACUGUUUCUUGGUGCUCGUUUUGACAAAUGGAGCGACCUUUGAAACGAAGUAUUUUCGCUAAGGUGUAAUGGCCUACCCCCCGACAUUCAUUAUUUCGAUGAAGUGAAUUAAUAAUUGGAGAGUUUUGCAUGUCCAUCUGUGAUCUGGUAAUUUAACUCGUUGUUUUGAAUUAAAGUUCUUGCCCUUCUUUUCCGAGGUAUUUGUUGCUCUAUUGGAACGUUCACCUUUUUCGUUGUUUUGCAAGGGAAUAUCCGGGCGUGAGAGUUCUAACGGUUACGCGGAGUAUUUGUUAGAAGCAUUUCACAUCCAAGAGAUUGUUUAUCUGAAUGUGUGUCCAAAGUUGUGUUUCGGACAGAGAACAGUGGAUGAAUGAAGAAACUAAUCUAAGUUCAACGCACUGAGGCGUGAAUCACCUAUCGCGAGCUGGGGUUCUACCUAACAUGCUGAGUUGUGAUGUCGCAGCUGUUAGCGUACAUACUGAGGAGUAAGUGAAUCUGCUGUGUAGAUUUCACUUAUCCUUCAAUUUUUUGGAUUCGGAGUGGCACGACUUUCCUCAUCCGUUUAAUUAUGCAUGCUUGUUAUAGAGCAUGAAGUUCGUUGUAUUGAACUGAGUAUGUACGUUAGAGUAGGUUGGCUUAGUUUGCCAACUAAGUCUAAUACUUUUUGAGUUUUUCGGCAUUCCAAGUUCUUGGAAUUGUGCCUUUGUGGAGAUCUUCGAGUCUGUAAGCCCCUGUUCCGGUUUUCAUUCGGACUUUAUAGGGUCCCUCCUAGUUGGCGGUGAGUUUUCCCUCUUCAGAGUCCUUCUGGUUUCGUCGGAGGACGACGUCACCUACUUCGAAUUCCCUCCUUUUGACCUUUUUGUUGUGGCGAGCGGCUAAUUUUUGUUUUAGAGUUGUUUCUCGCAAAGCAGCUUCAAUGUUGGCGUCAUUUCGCCAGGUGAGUUCAGUAAGCUCAAUGGGUAUGACUGCCUCUGUCCCAUAAAUGAGUCGAAAAGGUGCAUCCAGCCUAGAGGACCGUAUGCAACUCUUCAGCCCAUUUGGUUUUGGCUGCGUCCAGCCUCCUUCGUAUCCCUCAUAGAAUGACCCGGUUCGCUGCUUCGGCGAGGCCAUUAGCUUGAGGGUGUUCAACGGAGGUGAAGCAUUGUUUGAUUCUAAUUUUCCUCAAGUAGUCUUGGAAUUUUUCGUCUGUGAACUGAGUCCCAUUGUCGGAUAUCACUAGGGCUGGUACUCCGAAUCUUGCUAGGAUGUUCCUUUUGAAGAAACGAAGUACGUUUUUGGCUGUGAUUUUCGCUAAUGGUUUUGCCUCAAUCCACUUCGUUGAGUAGUCGAAGACGACUACCAAAUAUUUGAGUUGUCCGGUGGCUUUAGGGAAUGGUCCCAGAAGGUCAAUGCCCCACCAUGCGAAGGCCCAAGGGGAAACCAGUGAUGUUAAUUCAGCGGGGGGUGCGAGGUGCAUGUCCCCGUGUCGCUAACAUUUGUCACAAUGGUUUACGUAGACUUAGGCAUCUUUCAACAUGGUAGGCCAAAAGUAUCCUGCUCGUAGGACCUUUUUCGCGAGAGCUUUAGCACCAAGAUGUUGUCCGCAGAUGCCGCCAUGGACGUCAGCGAGGACUUCUUGGGUCUCGUUAGGUCCCAAACACUUGAUAAGCGGUGUGAUGAAACCCCUUUUGCAUACGAUUCGUUCCACUAAAGUGAAUGAGAAAGCCCUUCGUUGUAGCCUUGUUCUUUCUUGCGGAUCGGAAGAGAGUUCCCCGUUAGCUAUGUAACGAGAAAUGGGUCCUCUCCAAUCCUCUAUCCCAAUGAUUGAGUUGAUUUCGUGGAGAUGAGCCUUCUGCCUCUUAACGCUUGGUUCGUUGAAGACUACUUCUAUGACGUUUUUGUUUCCGCUUGCAGUCCGUGUGCUGGCGAGCUUUGAAAGAAUAUAUAUCUACCCGUGUGUUCUGUUCACGGGGAACAUGAGUUACCUCGACAGUUUCAAAUUCUUUCAUUUUCUCGAGUACUAGUUGCUCCUCUUUGACAUGGAACUCGCCUGUGACUUUGGAAGCCACUAACUGAGAGUCGGUAAAGAUUUUUACCUUUUUGGCCCCCAAGUCCUGGGCGGUCCGCAGGCCAGCUAAGAAGGCUUCGUAUUCUGUAGUUUUAUUGGUUAUAGGAAAAGAUAAGCCAGGAGAAAUUUCAACAACGAUACCUUUGUUGUUUUCUAUGAUUAUUCCAGCUCCGCUUCCUUUGGAGUUGGAUGAUCCGUCUACAAAGACGGUCCAUUCUUCUAUGUUAUCUUCCGUCGGGAAGGUCAUCUCGGCAAUGAAGUCUGUGAACACUUGCGACUUCAGUGCCUUUCUGGAUUCGUAGCAUAUGUCGAACUCUGGCAUUUCGAGUGACCACUUCAUCAUCCGUUCAGCGACGUAAGGGCGACCCAAGAUUUGCCUAAUGGGCGGGUCCGUUCAGACUAUUAACCUAUGUCCUAGGAAAUACUGCCUCAAUCUUCGAGCCGCUGUGAAGAGGGCGAGAGCUACCUUUUCGAUCUUUUGGUACCUCGUCUUCGGCCCUAAAAACGCUUUGCUGGUGAAGUAGACUGGUUUUUGACCCUCCGCUGUUUCUCUGAUGAGGAGGGCGCUUACCGCGUCAGAAGAAAUAGAAAGGUACAGGUACAGUACUUCACCUUGUUCGGGUCGUGAGAGAACUGGAGGUGCUGAGAGGGUCUCUUUGAUAUGUUUUAAAGCGGUCUCGUACUCGUCUUUCCACUUGAACUUUGUCGCCUUUUGUAAGAGCUUGAAGAAAUGGAGAGCAUGUUAAGCGGAUUUAGCCACGAAUCUUGAGAGGGCAGUCAGCAUACCAUUGAGUGUUUGGAUGCAGUUCUUGGAGUGGGGCGUGGGAAGCUUAUUAAAUGCUUGGCACUUAUAUGGGUUCGCUUCGAUUCCUCUUUCUGUUAGGUAAAAACCAAGGAAUUUUCCCGCUUGAACUCCGAAAGUGUAUUUUUCCGGGUUGAGCCGCAUGUUGUACUUCUGAAUUUGUUCGAACACUCUCUUGAGAUGGGCGGCAUGAUUAACCUCUUGUUCGGAUUUACAAUCAUGUCGUCCAUGUAGACCUCAAGGAUGUCGCCUAGAAGUGCCUUGUCAUAUACUUUGUUCAUCAUACGUUGAUAAGUAGCCCCUGCAUUUCGUAGACCGAAAGGGCAUUACAUUGUAGUAAUAGUUCCAUGAUUCGGUCAUGAAAGCUGUUUUCUUUUUAUCUUCUUCGGUCAUGGGUGCCUGGUUGUAACUAGAAUAGGCGUCGAUGAAGGAUAAAAGUUUGUAACUGGAGGAAUUAUCUACGAGUUUAUCGAUGUUAGGAAGAGGAUAUGGGUCUUUAAGGCAGACCCUAUUAAGAUCGGUAUAAUCAACACACAUUGGAGAGCUAGGUAGUGUAUUUGGCCUCAGAAAUAAAAUUUGCAUCUAGGAGGUCUUUUACAGCUUUUUCUGCAGCCUCUGAUUUUUCAGGAGACUGCUUUCUACGUCGCUGGGCUACAUCGCUCACACCGGGAUCCACUGUCAGCUGGUGACAACUGACAAGUGACGCUAGGGUCAAUUUCGGGCAUGUCGGCUGCGAGUCCGAGUAUGCUCCAUUUAACACUUGCUCCAUUUAAUCCAUUUAGGGAUUUAGAUGCAAGACAUGUGGAAAAAAGAUAAUCAAGGGCUGAGAUUUAACAUUAAAAAAAUAAGAGUUUGUUUAACAAAAUAAAUUAAAUCCUUUCUUCCUUGUUCACCUCCCCUACAAUCUCAAACUUCUUCUCCCCUCUUCUCUCAUCGCUGCCCACCGUCACCUCCACUAUCGUCCGUUUCUUCCACCGCAAUCCUAUCAUUCAAAGCACUAUGAGCAUAGAAGUUGAUUGUUAAUUUUAGAUCUUGUGAUUUCUUUGUUUCUUUUAUACAUGAUACAAGUUCAAGCCUUUUUUUGUUGUUGUUUUUCGGAUGUAUACAGAAAUGUCCUCAAUCAAAUAUUUUACCAAUGGUAACUUGACCCAUUACAGUAGCAGCGGCGAUAAUUUGUUUGUGGCCGCGGCGGUGAGACGACACUGAGCGGAAUAGGGGAGAGUUACGGCGUUGUGAUUGGCUGAGAUGGUGACAGGCGGCGGUGGGCGGCGAUGAGAUUACAGGGGAGAAGAAGAUUGAGUGAAAUCGUGGCAACGAGAGUUGGGUAAAGAGGAGAAGAUUGAGAUCGCAGGGGGUAGAGGGAAGGUGGCUGAGAGGAGAGCUAUUUCAUUUUUUGUUUUUUUUUAAAUAAUGUACUUUUUAAAAAAAAUUCAUUUCAACCCUUAAUUAUUUUUUUGCCACAUGUCUAACAUCUAAGCACUAAAUGGAGCAUACUUGGAUUUGUCGGCAGCGCUCCAGGCAAAUAGGUCUGCGUUCUCCCUAAGGCAGGCGACCAGCUGGGCUUUGACAAGUUCAGGAAGAUCCCUGCCGAUCUUGAAGUUUUUCGAGGGGUCGUUCCCGAAAGGGACCUCCUCGAAUUCACCGUUAGGAAUAGGUCUGAGAAGUUUCGCAUUGAGCGGAUCCUUCUUCCCCCUCUUCUGCUCCUUAAAGUCUUCCUUGGUGAACCUGGGGUCAAGUUCAAUCAAGUUGGCAUCCAGAGUGCUCGCAACAGCUUUCCCUUUGUCCUCAGCAAGUUUGCUGGAUUGGGAAACCGAGUUAUGGGAUUUGUUAGACUGGAGGAAACAUCUUCUUGUAGCUUCGAUGUCUCCAUUUAAAGGGGCGAUGAUGCCAUCUUUUGCAUGGUACUGCAACUUCAGUUGAGCGGUUGAACAUGUAGUGCCUAGUUGGGCGAGCCUGGUUCUCCCUAUAAUGCAAUUAUAGAGAGAAGGACAGUCGAUCACCAGGAAUGAGAUCUUUAUUGUUUUCUUGGCCUCCUCUUCGCCGAAGGUGACCAGUAGUUAUACAUAACCCCAUGGCUGAGUAGACGAGUCGUUAAAGCCGUAGAGUUCAUUUCCAACAUAUGGAGAAAUUUUUUUCUCCGUAAGUUGAAGAGGUUUCAACAGGCUGAUGUAUAUGAUGUCGCAUGAGGCUCCUGUGUCAAUUAGGACUCGACGGACAUCGUGUUGGCCACUGAUGCUCGCACGAGCAAAGGAAUGGCUGAAUUUGAGGCUCCACUGGGUAGUUCUGAGUCGUAGAAUGCCAUAGGUAGUCUUCCUCCAUUGUUGGAGGGGGCCAGCAGGUUCACGCUCAUUAGCUCUUCGAACUUUCUCUUCAUGCUUCCCAUGAAGAUGUUCAGCGUUCCGCCCGUGAUGACGUUGGCGGAGGGAAACUGUUCCCAGGUGCAUGAGUAGGGGGUGAUUUCCACAUUGUCAGGGAAAUUGCCCAGAUGUUCCACGGACAUGGCGACUAUCUUGUCCGCUUCGUUACCAUAAGUGAUGAGUUCGACGGUUUUUCUCUCCGACUCGGGGUUCUUUAUGAACUAUUUGAGCGGUCCUCGCUGGAUGAGGAGUUCAAUAGCAUCCUUCAGGUGGAUGCAGUCAAGUGACGUGCCCGUGGCACUUGUGGAACCGACAAUAUACUUUUUUGCAGACUCCCUUCCUCUCCUGGCAGGAAGCCUUUGGUGGCUUGAUGCCAACUUCUGUUAGAUCAGGUACUGCGAUCUGGAUGAGGAUUUUCUCCUUAGACAUGGCCAAGGGUGUAUACCCGGUGAAGUGACUGUUGGGUCUUUUAGCUUCAUGAGUUAACUUGCCUUCCCUUUUUUUCUCAUGGAAGGGCUUUUUGGAGGAUUCAGCAGCAGGCUCCUCCUUCCUGGAUUUGUUGAGGCUGUCCACAUACAACUCCUCUUCAUAUGCGAUGUAGAUUUUUUCGAUCGCUAGGAACUAAUUGAGAGUCCUUGGGCGAUCCAAACAGACAGCUUUCUUCACGUCUGUGCCUUCACGCAGACCUUUGGCAAUGAGGUACCGUUUCAUUGUCUCGUCAGCACUUCUUACCUGUACAGCUUCUUUGUUGAACCUCUCGAUUUCAUUUCAGGGAGGUUUUCUCUUUCCUUGAACAAUGGCUUCAAGGGAUGCCACUAUUUUCGGUUGCGUCCUUGAAGUGGUGAAGUGGGUCGUGAACUCGUAGUAGAGGUCGCUCCAUGAGUCAAUGGAGUUUCUUCGCAAGUUCUUGAACCAAGUGACGGCUCCUCGUCGCAGUGUAGUGACGAAGAGUUUGCAUUUUAUGGUGUCCUCCACCGAUCGGUAAGUGAGAAUUGCCUCAAUGUUCUCUAUGUGCUCAUCUCGAUCGGUUGUCCCGUCGUAUGAGUCCAUCUGGAGAGGCUUCUCUGGUCCACAGGGGAUAAAAGCUUCUUGGAUGCGCCGCGUGAAUGGUCCUUAAGCAUUGCGGUCAUUUCGGGCGUCACGAGUGUCCUCGGAGCUAGAGGAGGACCAAGAGCGUCUGUUAUGUCUUGGUGGGGAUCUCCUUGGAGGGGAUCGUAUGGGAGGAGACCGCCUUGGAGGAGUUCGUCUUGGUGAUCUCCUUUUGAAUAAUCUCCUGGUGUAACUUGGAGAUCUGAUGCUUACUUAAUGCCUCGGGGAUCUGGAGCGUGGAUGGUGAGGGCUCCUUCCUCUUCUGCUACGUGUCGAGGAAGGAGUUCGUUUAGUUCGGACUAGUGGACGCGUUUGCUGAAGAAGGUUGAACCGUGCGGAACAGGUUGCUGACGAGGGCACCAGUUGGUGUAGCAUCAUUCGGUCUCUCUGUAGGUCGGAUAGGACCUUGCAGAGGCCUUUCUUGGUGAGGAACUAUUUGUAUUGGUUCCUCUCUAGGCGUACCUCCAAGAGAAGGUGAAGAUGUCAUACCAUCCCGUUGAGGGAUGCGAAUCUCACUUCGUAUCUGGGAGUUGGCACCAUUGGCAGCCAUGGUAAUUUGGUGGAAAGCUUUGGUUUUUAAUAGUGUAAAAAUGGGGAGAGCUUAUAGUUUCCAUAGACGGCGCAACUGAUCGUACCUAAUCAGAAGGUGAUUGCUGGUGCUUUGAAUGCGGUGGUUUGAGUUAUGGUAAAAUGUGUCAGAAUGCUUCUUGGAACGGAUGGGGGGUGUGUACCUGCAGACACUCCGACGCUCAAGUAAGUAGAGAUCAGAGAGUGACGGUUUAGAGGAAGAGUUAGAUUCUACCUUGGGGACUGUAGUGAGUCCCCUAUAUAUAAAGGUGGACGGCUGCAAAGUCGUUGUAAUGGCACACCUGGCUCUGGCGGUUACGAAAUCGUGGGAAGUGUAACUGCCAGAGAGUUUAUUGCGGGAACGUGCAGAGAGAUGUUGUGGUUCAUUUGAACCGGUCUUGCACUCUCCGUGCACUCCCCUCUCGGGGAAGGGGUGUGUCGCACGUAAUGUUGCCAAACGUGGUGUUUGGGAUUUGGAUUGUAUUGGGCCUAAGAAAAUGGGCCAAAGGUUCUUUUGGCCUGUCCAAAACACUUUCUUUAAUGUAUUUUUCCUAUUGUUCUGGGUAGGACCACCUAGAUUUGUUUAGGGGAUUCGUUCCUCUUCAUAUGUUUGCUAACUCUUGGUCUAAAUUUGGAAACCAUGGAUCUUACUGGAGAUAUGAUUAACGGUUGUUCUCCACCAAUGGGUCAACAUGAUGUGGCUAGGGAAUUGUUUAGUAUAAGGGAAGUUCUCAUUUUCUUUUGAAUAGUUAGACUGAUAUGGAAUCCGAAAUCUUAGGGUCUAUAUCCUUAUACCUCUCUGCCGACAGGCAUGAGUUGGUAGAAUGUAGAAGCAUCAGUUAUUGAUUGGGAGGUGACCACUCUCGGGGACACCAACCGAGUUUGUAACCGGUAUGAAACAUGUAGUUUUUAUGUGUAUGAGAUUCGGUUGAAAGAGUAACUAUUGACCCUUCCGUUCAUCGAGUUCAAAGAUAGUGUCUUAAAUGACUUGAAAGUUGAUCCCCCACCCCACCAGCUGCACCCGUUAAGUUGGACCCUGAUGUAUGUCUUUCAAUUCUAGUGUGAGUUUGAGAAUAACACGCCCACUCUUCCUUUGUCCUUCAUUUUUUUGUGCAAUGGAAAUCAGAAAUUGGGUCAAAGAGACUCCUGGGGUUGAUUUCCUUGAAGUCCUUCGAGAAUACUUUUAUGAAUUGCAUUGACUCUAUCAUGGGUUUCAAGGAAAAGUACUUUUUGGUGAAGACAAUGACCUAGGAGGCUCACGCAGCCCUUUGUGACAUGCCCAAUAGAGGGGGUAGGGGAAGAGAGGUCAAGAUUUGGUGGCACGAGGUCUACCUCAAGGCGACAGGGUAGGGAGACCUGCAUGGGGUCAACAUCUACUAGUCGGAUGACCAUUUUCCUAUGGCCUCAGGAACGUAUACUUUUAAUGAUAAUGGUUUGUCUUCCGAGGAGCUAAGGGUGAAGGAUAAGAUCAACAAUUUUUUAAAGAGAAUGAGUUGGUGUCUGAUCCGAAGAAACUAGGAAAAUUUAUCUACAAAGACUGUGUUGUUGAAACGAGGGUAUUUCUAGCCAAGAGACUGACCAAGGAUAAGGGGAGGUCAAUGUUUGGUGAAGAUUGUUUCCUUUAUUUUCUCUACUUUAGAUUUUGAUCUUGUCUUUCCAUUUUACUAACUUAUUGUUGCUUUCUUUUGACAGAGGAUUCAAGCUAGAAAAAGUGUCAUGGGAAAGAGUUCAUUUUCCCUUACAAUGGAGGUUGCCCAAGAAACGGAUAUGGUCAUGGCAUCCAGAAGCUCAUCCAAGUAGGAUGUGGUGAUGACGGAGUUGGUGGCCAACCAUACCCCUUAUUUUUAGAUAACCUGAGAGUUGGAUGUCGAUACAGAUUCAAUCAUGCACAAAUCAUCAAACGGCUCUUUCUAAGACAUGGGGCCAAUGUCGAAGAAGAGGUUCGAGAAAGAACACAAACAUGGAAGGCAGUAGGCAUAAGUGGCAGAGGAAGGAUUAUUCGGGAUGAGACAAGCUUGUACUCGGCAGUAACAACUACUCACAUCUUUUUCCAAUUCAUUUGGUUUUACAGGUCGGCGUUUUCUUCUAGCUUCCUCUAGUGUUUUCCCUCAAUACUCUCAAGGUAGGCAAAGACUUCAAGGGGGUCGUCACCAAGGAACUGAUUGCUUAUUCUCUAUUAUACUUGCAACAAAUCUAUUUCAAUCAAAUUUAUGAACAAAUCAAAAAUUAUAUAACAAUAGAUAUGAAUGAGAUCUGAACCUUCAUAGUCUCAUGGUUAUCUAAAUGCUCGAAUUAUAUAAUUAUAUAGCUGAAGAAAGGAAAUGGUUAAAAAGCUUUACCACAACAACGCUCCUCUCCUAAUUUCCAACCACAAUGGGUGUUAUUAAAUUAUAUGCACAUAUAAGUUCUUUCACACGAACCUAUAUGCUUCAAAUUGUCAAAUCUCAAUUGGUCAGAUCAUCGUGUUUAUAACGUGCUAUGCAAUUAAUCAAAAGACAAGAUCAAAGAUUGAGAAGAUGAGAGCUUUUUAAUUAUUAACUUCACAAGUAUAUCCUUACGCCAAAACAUGAGUAAUAUUGAUAGAAUACAAAUAAACAAGUGAAUGAUCACAUGUAAUUGAUGUCUUUGAAUUUCCAAACUAUUCUAUUUAGAUUUCCAAAUUCUAUUGUGAAAGAGAAUAUCUACCAAAUUUGUUACUAUGUUAAGACACGACCAGGUCACUCUCUUUAAGAGGUUUCGUGGCACUACCCAAAAUUGUGCAAGACAUACUAUCAACUAUGCCGCCUCCAGGAUAAAACAAGUCCAGCUACAACUGUGUGGUUAACUACUGCACUGUAGAAAACCGUUCGAGGAUUACACCCUCAAAUAUGACUAUUAAUGCCACUCUUUUUAAAAAUGAAAUCAAUCAAGUAUGGUACUAUGACCACACUACUAUGGUAUUAUGACCAUUCAAAUAUGAUGUUAGCACCAUUCUAACUUUUAAAAUCUCCAAAUGUCAAUAUGGUAUUUAACCACUCAAAUAUAGUGUUAUCACCAUUCUAACAUGUAACAUCUCUAAGAAUCGAAGAAGAAUAUACUUUUAAGAUCAUUCUUAUUAUACCGAAAAAGGGACUAUUAUUUAUUCUGAAGAGACAUAAAUAAUUGAAGGGAAUGUGCACUUAAUACCAUUCUUUAUUCUGAAGGGACAAUAAACCGAAAAGGGACUACGGUCUUAAGAACAUUCUUAAUUCCGAAUGGACAGAAAAAAGGAGAUAAGGAGAAGAAAAUCUUGUUCACGCAAGUUGGAGGAAGAAGAGAGAAAGAGUUAUCGACAACUCAAUAGAACUCUUUGGUGUGUGAAAUGCACUAUGUGAUUUCUCUAUUUAUAGAGAAUAUUCACAACUAAUAAGUGAGAAACUUUGGGAACAAGUAAUACAUUACUUUGAGAUUAGGUAAUUCACAUAUUAGAUCUAAUACAAAAAUAUUUCAAUUGAGUGCGAAAAUAUAUUAUAUUGAGUACAAAAAUGUAUUAUAUUAUGUACCAAAAUAUAUUUCAGAUUCUGCACAAAAAUAUAUUCAAUUGCAUACCAAAAUAUUUCAGUUGUGUCCCAAAACAUUUUAGCAAAACUUGAGGACUAAGAAAACGUUUUCUAUUAAUGAUUAAAUUAAUUACUUAAUUUUACAUUUCCAAAAUAAUAUAUAUAUAUAUAUAUAUAUAUAUAUAUAUAUAUAUAUAUAUAUAUGAGGAGGGAUAUUUUGACUCCAAGAGUAAGUGUAAUAUCUUACUCUAAAUCUUAACCUUUAAUUACAAGUUUGGUUAAUGGCUUAGAUUAGUUGAUGGUAGGCUUUAAUUCCAUUUUCUAUCGUAGUCAACACUUAUCAUCACAAAAUAACAAAACAAUGAAUAUCUUUUAAUUGAUUGAUUUCUUCUUCCAUUGCUUUUUUUUUUGGUUCAAGCAAAAAUAAUUUUUGAGGGUUAACUUAAAAUCCUUUCCUUAAAAUAAAAAUUUCAAGAUUCACUCAAUCUAUUGCUUCAAAAAAAUUUGCAUAUAUUUUUUUUUACGCUAAAAGAAUUUUUUUCUUCUCUCAUUGCAUAAGAAAUAAUUUUUUUUUCUUCUUUUUCUUCUCCCAUACAUGCAAAAAAAAGCAGGAGUGUAAAAAGUGAGUUUGAUCCCUAACCGAUAGUCAAUCUGAUCUAUGUGUUCUCUAUCGACCUCAUAUCAAUAGCUAAUCUAAGUUUUUGUUUUUUAAAAAAAAAGCUAAUCUAAGUUUUACAAUUUUUGCUGAAAAACAUUUUUGCCAUGAAAGAGUUCUUUAAGUUUUGCUCUUAACCCUCAAAAAAAAAUUUAGCGUGAAACUAAAAAAAAAACAAUGGAAGAAAAAAAAAUUCAAUCAAUUAAAAGACAUUUAUUAUUUUGUUAUUUCAUGGUGAUAAGUGUUGAUUAUAAUAAAAAAUGGAAUUAAAGCCUACCAUAUCAAUUAAUCUAAAUUGGAAUUAAAUGUCAAGAUUUGGAGUAACAUAUUACACUUACUCUUGGAGUCAAAAUAUCCCACCCUAUAUAUAUAUCUUGUGCUUACUUUGUUCAUAUAAUUAUGUACCCCCUCUUGAUGGUACAACCCCACUAUAUAAACAAUACUAAUGUGUGUUUCAUUCGUGUGAGACUUUCACUUUUUUCAAUUCACACAACAUUAGUUCUACUCAACAUAAGAAUUUGUGUUUAGUCUUUUAACUCAAUUUCCACACAUAUUUCAUAAAUAAUUAAAGACCAAUAGCAAUUCAUUCACUGAUGAAAAUUAUAAUAAUGUCGAAGAUCAAGAAUGGUCAUCCACCAGUUUUAUUAUUUAUAGUUAACAUGCAUAAUUUGUUUAGUGUGGUUUAUUUUCAAUAUACAUCAAUUACCUUUUUCUUUUUUAUUACAAAUCUUUAAAUAUUUUGUUAUGAAACGCAUUUAUCAUGAUACGGUUCCUAUUUUGUCAUAAAAAAAAUGAUACGGUUCCUAUCAAUAUUUAUUUUUAUCGUGAACAAUUCAAUUAUUUUUCAAAUUUAAAUCAUAAUUUAAAGAAUUAGAAAAACUACCUACAAAUAUUUGUCAAUCUCUUUCUAAACCAUUUUUUUCCUAAAUAAUACUCCCUCCGGUCCUUUAUACAAGAAACAAAAGACAUAAAACAUCAAGACCAAGGAAAUACAUUGAAAAUAGUAAUCUUCAUUUAAUACACCUCUAUAUUUAAGAAAAUUCCAUCAACACCCCUAAAUUAAUUACUCUAAACUUACUUAAUUUUAAUAUUCUCUCUCAUAAUAAAUAAAGGCACAAAUGAAAUUUAACUUCAAACAUACUUAAAACUUGGUCAAUAUUUCUUAUAAAAAGGACCUAAAAAAUUCUCACUUUUGUUUCUAAUAAAAAGGACCGGAUGGAGUAUAUAGAAUAUAAAAUUAAAAUCGAUAUAAAAUAAAUAGAACAUAAGGAUAGACAGGUACCAAUGUUCUCGUUUUUAUGUUAGUGAGCAACAAAUUAAUCAUGCUACUACCACAUCCCCCUCCUCUCUUUUUUUAUGCUGAUAGUGCAAUGCAUAUUUCGUUAUUUCCUAAACAAGAUAGUUUAGGUCAAAGGACAUUUUUAUACUCAUUAAUUAAUUAACAUCCAUAGCAAAUUAUUUAAGAGUUCUUCAACCACUAGUUAAAGUGACGCAAUGUAAACGCGUCAAUAUGUAAGCACAUGGCGUCACGGAAAUCAGUUUGAAUAGUAAUUUUUAGAAUUCUUUGUUGUUUUAUCCUCUAUCUUCCCUAUAUAUAAGACCCUUUUGUCAAAAUCACGGAAAUUAAGAUAGUGAAUAUUUGUAUUAAAGUUGUUUGUAAUCACUAUUGUUUUUACAAUUUUAUCCUUUAAGAAAGAAUGUUAGUUUAUGUUUUCAACAUGUUAUUUAUUGUUGAUUGAAGAAAAAGAUGUAUAAUAAAUAGGGGCAUGUAUGUAAAGAAAUAAUUAAUGUAGUUGGAAAUAACAAAGAGAUCUUAUAAAAAGGGACAAAAAAAAUUCUCAAAAGGGUCUUAUAAUUAGGGACGGAGGGAGUAUUUGUUAUUUGUUAUGUCUAAUCUCUAAAAUACUAUACGACUUUUUUGACUAAAAAUAUUAUACAACUUGGUUGCUUAAUUUUACCCAAAAGAAAUGGUGUCACAACUUGUGUGAAGUUCCUUGCCGGUUCUUUUCUAUAUAAUUAGAAUUUAGACUAUUACUUUUUUCCCAUAUCUGUUUCUCACGCAUUUUAUUUUUUUCUAAAGAUCUUCCUCAGAUUUUAUAAUCUAAAAUCUGUUUUGGAUCAUAUAAUUACAGCAAUCAACAUGCACGACAAGUCUUUGUAGAUUCUACCACUUUUUCAAUAUAUAAAAUAAUGUAAAAGACAAUGACGUUAUAAUUAUAUAAAACAUCUUUACAUACAUACAUACAUAUAUAUAUAUAUAUAUAUAUAUAUAUAUAUAUAUAUAUAUAUAUAUAUAUAUCAUUAUACCAAAUAUAUUGAAUUUAUAUUAUUACACAUUUCAACUAAAGAUAUUUAUUUAAACUAAUUUGCCCUAAGAUCUGCGCUGCAAUCAUUAAGAUUAAAGUUUUUGUCCUUUUCAAUCUUGACCUCAACUUCAACCUUCUCUUCACGAUCAAGAUUUUCAACAAUGUACAAAUCUUGGUCAUCUCCUACUACCUCACAACCUGCCGCCCGACAUAGUUCAUUAUAGUCAACCAUCUGACUGACAUAUCUUUCAUCUCAUUUUUUUGCAUCAUAUCGACAAUGUUGUCUCCGUAUAAAUAGCGUGGAAGUGAGAGGAAUUGGACAACUAUCCUUCAAAUAUAUCAUCAAAAAAUGAUUUUCAUUCACAUGUUUGUAUCUAUGUGCAAUGAAGAAAACCCAAAUCCGGCAUAAUCAUCCAUUUAUCUGGUGGUGUAGAUCCAAUACCAGAACAAGUUAGAGCACCUAAGACUAGUUUAUAUUGCCUAUCUGACCCAAUAAAGUGCUGAUAACGCUCAUUUUCUUCAUCGAUAAACUCUUUUUGAAGGUGGUAACAGAUCAUCCAGUGAUCAUCAUGAGACAUGUUACAUAGGCGAUCAACUGCACGGAACCCACAAUGACCAUCACCAGCUACAUCCACCACCUUAUCAAUAAAUUCAUGCCAUGAAAGGUGGGAUUUAGUCUGUAUGGUAUGUUGACUUUGACUGGAAUUGGAUUAGGAGGAUUAGGAGACAUGUUACUUUUCCGUGCACUUUUUCUACUUUUCCAUGUUGAAUUUGUCUAUGAAGCUUGUGUCUGUGGAUCCCGGAAGUCUACAUGCUCCCAAAGCGAAGAUGAUUGCUUUGUUGACCAAAAGAUAUAUGUUUAUCUUUCUUUCGAGCCCCUUUUGUGGUGACCUUUUUUGGCGGUGGCCGCAUAGAGUUUGUCAAUGGCAAAACAAAUUAUUGAAAUUGUUUUUUCAUAUGAACCUUCAUGUUGUAAUCAGCCUCCUUGAACCGAGCCUACAAUGUGUAAAAACUUGUUAGUUGGAAUUGUGUAGAAAACUAGGAAACAUGCAUUUUGUUCUGGUAAUGAUGCACGCCCAUAACCUAUAACUUGAAUAUUAUGACCAUUACCAACAGGAAUAUUAUAUACUCGUAUUAAAAUAAGACAUAAGAUUACCUCUGUUCACCGUCAUAUGUGAUGCACCCCGGUGUCCAUAUAACAUUGAUCAUCUCGAGGAGAAAGAUAUAACUUUGGGAAGGCACACAAUCCCUCAUCAAGACGAGAGACAAAGUACGAGACAUCUCCUCUGAUCGGCUUUCCUCCUCCAUAUAUAGCUAUAUCAAAGAGAGCAUCGGAUUUAUUUUUGACGUUAUUUGGAUCCCUGGACUUAAAUUCAAAUAACAAUUUGAUCCUUGAUAUAUAUUUUUUACAUCAUUUUGAUCGUUUUGAUUUAUUUACAUAUGAAUUUAUUUUCUCGUGAUCACUAGGUCUUGAAAUCUAUGGUCCUCCUUUCAUGUUUGUAUAUACGAAUGGAUCAAAAUGAUGUAAAAAACUAAAUCAUCAUCUAAAAUUAGGUAAAGAAUCACAAAUGUAAAUUUGCAAGAAAAAACGAAUAAAGAGUGGUGUGACUUUUUAAUCAGUAUAUUAAGAAAUGAUGAUUUAGCCCCAAUAUAAACGAUUGAUAUACUAUAGAAAAAGAGAGCAGCAUGGUGGAGGAUGUGGUAAUUUUAUUAAUUUAAAAGAGUCUAAUAUUUAUCUCAUAAUAUCAAAAUGUUUUACAAGUUACUUAACUCAACUCCAAAUAUCAUCAUCAUAUACUAUAGAAAAAUAUUCAGAUUCCAUCGGCAAAGAUGUCAGCAUUUGUCUUGGAACGUGGUACAUGUCAGCCUCAUACGGUUGUGUCCAAAAACUAUCAACUGUUGAUUCGUUGUAAGCAUCUAAAAAGCUUCCAAAAUCAUUAUCCAUAACAAAACUUUCAUUGGACGAAUUUCCGGGAGACACUAAAAAAGCAUUGUUAGUGGUAGCAUCAUUAUUAUUGUUUUGCACUAUUCCACUUGGUGUGUUGGAAAUAUCAUGAAGCCAAAAGCUUAUAUCCACAUCUUUUAUAAAUGAAUCCAGAAACCCAAAAUCAUCUGAAGAGGUGGAAGAGAUUUCACUAGAUGAUGAAAAUGGGGAUAAAGGGCCAUUGUUGUUUGAGAUUUGGGAACUAUCUGGAGGGGUAAUUUGGUAAUUCGAUAUAUCUCUCCCUUGUGUGGAUUCAAUUAUGUCUUUUGAUUUGGUGGAUUUAGUUUCUUCAUUUGUGACAAUGUUAUCUAUAGCUCUCUUCUUGAGGGAAGUGUGCCAGUGGUUCUUCACUUCAUUAUCUGUUCUUCCAGGUAACUCGGCAGCAAUGGUUGACCAUUUAUUCCCAAGCUUUUUAUGCAUUCUGAUAAUCAACUCCUCUUCAUCUUUAGUAAAGUUCCCUCUUCUGAUAUUAGGCCUUAGAUAAUUCAGCCACCUCAAUCUACAACUCUUCCCACACC